AUGCGCCUGCCGCUGAGCGGACCUCUGGGACCUAGGGCUUCUGGACGCCGCCUUCGUUCUGGGCACCAUGUGUUCGGAGCACACCACGCGGUAUCAGGGUCACAGCUACAGAGAAGGAAGCAGAUGUUUGGUGAUUAGGGUCAUCCAGUGGGCUCAGGCUGACACCACACCGUGCCCUCCCCACUCAGUCCCCCAGCUUUCCAAAGGUGAGCAGGGCCUUGGUGUGUGAAUGACCCGGAGAGAUGGACUGGAUUCAUUGCCCUGAGCACCAAUGCCAGUGAGUGCCUGGCAGCCAGUAGGUAUUUGUUACAUUUUUUUUUUAAACUAAGUAAUGAUUUAGGUCUCCCUCCCUUCACCCAUGUUUGAUGUCGCUUUUAUAAUUUCGGGUUUGACUUCCAUGCAAUUUUAACUCCUUUCUCUUUGCAGAGAGAUGGGGAAAGUAAAUGAGGAAUCCUCCCAACCAGACACUCACUCUGUCAGGAAGGUAUUAGAAUCUUUAGAUGAGGACUCUAAAAUUCGGGAAAGUUAAGUCACUUAUCUAAAGACACAUAUCUACCGAAUGGCAGCGUGGGAUCUGAGCCACAUCUGCGCAAUGCGAGGGCGCGUGCUGUGCUAUCUGUAGCCUGCCCCAGAGUGUCAUGGAGAAAAGUGGAACCCUCAGGCAAGAUAGAAUAGGGUUGCAGCGGCCGGGCGCGGGGGCUCACGCCUGUAAUCCCAGCACUUUGGGAGGCCGAGGCAGGCGGAUCACGAAGUCAGGAGGUCGAGACCAUCCUAGCUAACACGGUGAAACCCCUUCUCUACAAAAAAUACACACACACACACACACACAC
rnacentral:lncRNA from 1 species